ensembl:lncRNA
GAGAGGAGCAUGUUUUCACUGCACCCACCCUCGACACUGCCACUUUCCAACCAUCAUCAGACAACCCAUGGACCACCUGCCGUUUUUACAGGCCAUUGGAGGCAGUCUGCAGUGGAUCAUCCUUACUGUUUUUGUUCCUGGACACUGGAUUCUCUCUGUAAACACAUUUAUAAUCUCCUUGAUUAUUGAAAAAAAACAUCACAAUUUAAAUCGCUUUUUUUUUUUUUUAAUUACUAACAUACUUAACGGCUACUGUGACCACAGGCCAGGGAAAUAUUUUUUCCAGACUCCCCAAGUGGCAGCAGUUGGAGAAAUGUGAAAAGAACACAUCUAUUCAGGUUUCUGAAGUGCAGGACAUCAUCUUAUCUUAGACGGUGAUGGUUCAGUUUAAAACCACUUUUCUUUUCUAUGGUUCUCGUAAUUGAUAUAAUUGAUAAAUAAUAAUAUAAAAAUAUAUUAAAAAUCUAUUUUUUAUUUUGGAACUGAUGGAAGAAGAGCCCAUUGUAAAUAAUGAUUCAAGUUCCCACCUUUUCCUUUGUUAGUUCUAAUCAAGUUUCUUGUGUAUAUGUAUGAAAAUGCUGUUCUUUUAUUCCCUUGUGUUUCCACGUGAUUGUUCCAGACACAUUGCACACCUCCUCUCCUGUGGAUCCUGGAGGACACUUGACAGAAGUGAUGUUCCGGUCUGAUAUGUCAUUGCAUCUUCUGGAUAUAUAGAUCUCCAUUACUAAGGGUUUCAUUAACGAGAACGUGUGGGUCGGGUCUGUGAUAGCAGAUUAAAUUAACAACUUCAGGCAAAAGAAAAUAAAUCUUGUACAAAAUCACGCACCUCUCAAGAAGUGCCAAUAGCUUGAAACUGAAUGAAACGUUAAGAAAAAAAAAGUCCAUUAUUCACUUCCGUUUUGAUUCACUUCUGUUGUGUGUUGGCUUUUGCUGUACCACCCAAUUCACACUGGCCGCGGAAGCGCCGCGGAAUGGAGUCCGCUUCCAUUCGGUGCACUUGUCUGAUUGCUGAAAGCAAUCAGAGUAUGUUAUCCUAAUUCUUGAUUAUAUUUUAUUCUUCUUCCUUCUUAUUAUUAUAUUUUAUUCCUUCACUUUUUUGGAACGCAACUACAGAUAUCAACAUGCAACCACUUGUAGUUUGUUAAGAUGAUAAAGGAGAUGUUUGGUUUAAAAUUUCGUACCAUUUGGUGUUACAGUUGAUUUUAAAUGAAUUUUUAAAAAUAUUUUUUUUCCCCUAUCAAAAUACACGGGACAAAUUUAAAAUCCCUAUUAUCUUGGAAAGUGUUAGACCAACAGGUAUUUGGUACUUUGUAAGUAGAUACUUCAGACCAAUCUUUAUAUCCUCAAUCAAUUUUGGCUCUAUUACGCCACCAGGUGGUCAGUUUUAAAACUAAAAUGUAUAGGCCUUUUUCUCCAAGAGCAUUUGUCUUAAGCACUACAUUUUACUCCUUUGUGAUUCAUUGGAUAAUGAAAUAAUAGAUUAUAUUCAUUUGCGAUCUUUAUUGUGUAAGACUUUUUUGCAAUUUACGAUUUUUCUCAAAACACUUUUUUGACUCCCAGUGUCACAUACUUUGACGAAUCUUUGCAGUUUUUUUACACAUAUCCUAUUUUGGCUACCACAAAUCCAAUGAUAAUAUCCGUUUUGCAUAGUUCCAUACAGUUUUUGCGUAACACGUCAUGCAAAUUACUGAAUGACUUUGUCCACAUUGUAAGAUAAGUAAGCGGGGUCUCGUGGCAACCCCCUCUUAUCGGGGAUUCUGUGGCCGGUUCUCGAGGUCUUUCUCUCCAUUCAAAGUAGGCGUCCUCGUGGGGGACGUUGUAAAAGGUGUGGGGAUAAGAAAUUUCCGUCACAGCUACUUCCCAAUCCUCUCGAAAAUCAAUGUGUUGAGGCAAAUUUACGCGAAAAUUGGAGCUCGUGUUGUCCUUGAAAACGUCUAAACUGGCGUUAGACGGCAGCGUGAUGUAGAAGCCUUCUUUACCGAACCCGCUCAUGGUGAAAAAUAAAGCAAAACGAUAGCCGUUGAGCUACUUAUAUUUUUUUUAAUUCCGAGGCCUUGAUCCAACUAUUGAAUUUUUCGGGCCAAUUUUUCCACUUUACCAGGACCUGCUUUUCCCCCUUUACCGCGCGCCUCCCUACAAUCUUCUCUAUGUGAUAAGUCCGGUCUUUACUCUGUUUAACUUUCUGCAUCUCGGCCUUGUAGAAAGAUCCUUCUAUGUGACGUUGGCGGGGGCCAUUUUUAUGCUCAUGUGAAAACUUUUAUUGUAACCCGCUAACAAAUCCUGCAAAACGUUCAUGUAACGCCUCGUGUUGCUGGCGGUAAAGAAUCUCCACAUUCGUGAUCUUUCAAUCACGGAGGCUUUUAAAUCACUGGCUGUUGCAGAGUGCACGAUUCCGUGGUUUUUCAUGAGACUUUGAAAGCUUUUGUUGAAAAACUCUUUGCCUUCGUCCGUUUUAAUUUUUUCAGGAACGCCGCUUUCUUUCAAAACGGUAUCGAAAGCUUUCGUUAACUCGAUGACCGUCAGUAAAAACUUUUUUCCGUCAUUGUGCUCCGCCAAAGCUUGCAUGUCACACAGAUCCGCUUGAAAUUGGUUUAAGGGUCUAGCGACAAACACUCUGUUUCUGGUGAAAUUGACUCGGGCUGGCUUGUGCAGAGUGUAGGAGUCUUGCUCCGAUAAAAAAUCCUUUACAUCCACCAACCUGAUAUU